GAGUGAUUUAGUGAAGAGAGCUAAGAAAAUGGGAAGGGCUUAUAGAACAAAUCUGUGUCAGGUUGAGUAUCCCUUAUCCGAAAUGCUUGGGACCAGAAGUGUUAUGGAUUUCACAAUUUGGAAUACUUGUAUUUGCAUAUAGGUACAUUAUCUGAUUUCUUGGAGGUGAGUAAAGGUAAAGGUUUCCCCUGACGUUAAGUCCAUUUGUGACCGACUCUGGGGGUUGGUGCUCAUCUCCAUUUCUAAGCCAAAGAGACGGCAUUGUCCAUAGACACCUCCAAGGUCAUGUGGCCGGCAUGCUUGCAUGGAGCACCGUUACCUUCCCACCGGAGCGGUACCUAUUGAUCUGCUUGCAUUCAAAGCACCCCUAAGCAGAGGCUGGAUGGCCAUCUGUCGGGGGUGCUUUGAAUGCGAUUUCUUGCUUCUUGGCAGGGGGUUGGACUGGAUGGCCCAUGAGGUCUCUUCCAACUUUACUAUUCUAUGAUUCUAUGAUUCUACUCACAUUUGCAUGUUUUCGAACUGCUAGGUUGGCAGGAGCUGGGGCUAACAGCGGGCACUCACUCCACUCCCGGGAUUUGAACCUGGGACCUUUUGGUCCGCAACUUCAGCAGCUCAGCGCUUUAACACACUGUGCCACCAAGUCUAAACACAAAGUUAAUUUGUUUCAUAUACACCUUCUAUCCUGAAGAUAAUUUUAUACAAUUUUAAUAAUAUAGCGUGCAAAACAAAGUGUGUGUGUGCAUUGAACUAUCGGAAGUCAUUGUCUCAGCAACCCAUGUACAUUUUGGAGUAUUCUGUAGUAUAGAGAUGCUCAGCCAAUACUACAACUCCAUUUCUUAUCCUGUAUGCUUUUUCCCCUUUCCAGGUCAGACAAUCCAGAACUGAGCUAUCCGAAAAGGAUUCAUGAUCUCCAGGUCUUUAUAUCUCCUUGCACACAUGAAGAGGAGGAGGCAGAAGAGGAGGAGAGCCACUCUCUGCAUAUCAGGGGGAGAAACCCUUCACGGCACAAGCAGGUUCGAUUCCCAGAUUCAACAGGGUCGCAGUUCUGAGUUGGAAGCCCUUUGUCCCCAUGUGAUAAAUCAAUUGACAUUAGAAAAAUUACUAUAUCUGACAAUUCCCCUAUACCUGUUCAGUGGUAUCCUUUUCUCUUUAUAUGGCAUAUUUAAAGACUAA
rnacentral:lncRNA from 1 species